rnacentral:rRNA from 1 species
AUUGAACGCUGGCGGCAGGCCUAACACAUGCAAGUCGAACGAGUGGCGGACGGGUGAGUAAUGUAUGGGAAACUGACUGAAGGAGGGGGAUAACUAAUGAGAACGGUAGCUAAUACCGCAUACCAGCAGAUGUGACCAGCUGGGAGUUGCUUGUUGGUGGGGUAACGGCUCACCAAGGCGACGAACCCUAGCUGGUCUGAGAGGAUGACCAGCCACACUGGAACUGAGACACGGUCCAGACUCCUACGGUAGGCAGCAGUGGGGAAUAUUGCACAAUGGUCGCAAGCCUGAUGCAGCCAUGCCGCGUGUAUGAAGAAGGCCUUCGGGUUGUAAAGUACUUUCAGCGUGGAGGCGUUACCCGCAGAAGAAGCACCGGCUAACUCCGUGCCAGCAGCCGCGGUAAUUC